CCUACGGGGGGCAGCAGUGGGGAAUAUUGGACAAUGGGCGAAAGCCUGAUCCAGCCAUGCCGCGUGUGUGAAGAAGGCCUUCGGGUUGUAAAGCACUUUCAGUGGGGAAGAAAGCCUUGGGGCUAAUACCCUCGAGGAAGGACAUCACCCACAGAAGAAGCACCGGCUAACUCCGUGCCAGCAGCCGCGGUAAUACGGAGGGUGCGAGCGUUAAUCGGAAUUACUGGGCGUAAAGCGCGCGUAGGCGGUCUGAUAAGCCGGUUGUGAAAGACCCGGGCUCAACCUGGGAACGGCAUCCGGAACUGUCAGGCUAGAGUGCAGUAGAGGAAGGUAGAAUUCCCGGUGUAGCGGUGAAAUGCGUAGAGAUCGGGAGGAAUACCAGUGGCGAAGGCGGCCUUCUGGACUGACACUGACGCUGAGGUGCGAAAGCGUGGGUAGCAAACAGGAUUAGAUACCCCAGUAGUC
rnacentral:rRNA from 1 species